rnacentral:rRNA from 1 species
CGUAGGGGGCGAGCGUUGUCCGAAGUUACUGGGCGUAAAGCGCGCGUAGGCGGGGGGUUAAGUGAGAGGUGAAAGGGCUGGGGCUCAACCUCAUGCAGUGCCUCUCGUACUGGCCUUCGUUGAGGGCGGUAGGGAGAAGUGGAAUGGCUGGUGUAGCGGUGAAAUGCGUAGAUAUCAGUCGGAACACCGGUGGCGAAGGCGGCUUCUUGGGCCGUUCCUGACGCUGAUGCGCGAAAGCUGGGGGAGCGAACGGGAUUAGAUACCCCGGUAGUCCCAGCCGUAAACGAUGGAUACUAGGUGUCGGGGGUAUCGACCCCCCCGGUGCCGCAGCUAACGCAUUAAGUAUCCCGCCUGGGGAGUACGGCCGCAAGGUUG